rnacentral:rRNA from 1 species
UGCAAGUCGAACGAAGACCCGGAGCUUGCUCCGGAAUUCUUAGUGGCGAACGGGUGAGUAACGCGUGGGAAUCUACCUAGAAAUGGGGAAUAACUAUUGGAAACGAUAGCUAAUACCGCAUAAUCCCUUCGGGGGAAAGGCUUCGGUCGUUUUUAGAUGAGCCCGCGUCAGAUUAGGCUGUUGGUGAGGUAAUGGCUCACCAAACCUACAAUCUAUAGCUGGUCUGAGAGGAUGAUCAGCCACACUGGGACUGAGACACGGCCCAGACUCCUACGGGAGGCAGCAGUGGGGAAUAUUGGACAAUGGGGGCAACCCUGAUCCAGCAAUGCCGCGUGAGUGAUGAAGGCCUUAGGGUUGUAAAGCUCUUUCAGAAGUGAAGAUGAUGACGGUAACUUCAGAAGAAGCUCCGGCUAACUCCGUGCCAGCAGCCGCGGUAAUAUGGAGGGAGCUAGCGUUGUUCGGAAUUACUGGGCGUAAAGAGCGUGUAGGCUGUUAGGUAAGUCAGAGGUGAAAUCCCUAAGCUCAACUUAGGAACUGCCUUUGAUACUAUCUUACUAGAGAUCGAGAGAAGUUGGCGGAAUUCCAAGUGUAGAGGUGAAAUUCGUAGAUAUUUGGAAGAAACACCAGUGGCGAAAGCGGCCAACUGGCUCGUUUCUGACGCUGAGACGCGAAAGCGUGGGUAGCAAACAGGAUUAGAUACCCUGGUAGUCACGCCGUAA